rnacentral:lncRNA from 1 species
UUGCGACAGCCCAUCAAAUUUUGGCGCCGUUGUCGGGGACCGACGAUUCGGUUUUAGGUUUUUUGUUGUGUUAGUGUGUGUUGUGUUUUGUCUUGUGUUGUGAGAGUGAUGUUCCGUUUUGUGUGUUCGUGAUACAUCCAGGGGGAUGUGUUGGAGAUGUGCCGUGAGAUUGGAGGUGAUUUGAAGCUUGGAAGGCAACUGGAACCAGUGGAACAGUACCGGCAGCAGCUGUAGAUCUGAAGGCUUUUUUGGAACAGAUUUGGCUGGAGAGUUUUGGAGUGAAGGCAGCGGAUUAGAAGUGUUUGUGGUGAGUGGAGGUGGAGUCUAGCUUGGAGAGAUGAUUCACAACUCAGAAGGCUUCCCUAGAAUGGAAGAAAGUUGCAAUGGAGAUCAAGCUAGGAAGAGGACUCUUGGAGAAGNNNNNNNNNNNNNNNNNNNNNNNNNNNNNNNNNNNNNNNNNNNNNNNNNNNNNNNNNNNNNNNNNNNNNNNNNNNNNNNNNNNNNNNNNNNNNNNNNNNNNNNNNNNNNNNNNNNNNNNNNNNNNNNNNNNNNNNNNNNNNNNNNNNNNNNNNNNNNNNNNNNNNNNNNNNNNNNNNNNNNNNNNNNNNNNNNNNNNNNNNNNNNNNNNNNNNNNNNNNNNNNNNNNNNNNNNNNNNNNNNNNNNNNNNNNNNNNNNNNNNNNNNNNNNNNNNNNNNNNNNNNNNNNNNNNNNNNNNNNNNNNNNNNNNNNNNNNNNNNNNNNNNNNNNNNNNNNNNNNNNNNNNNNNNNNNNNNNNNNNNNNNNNNNNNNNNNNNNNNNNNNNNCCCUUGACCAUGUUUUGGCAAAUUUGUAGCAUCUUCUUGAUCUCCAAUUUCCCAUCCAAAGAUAGCAAAGAGUACUUGACCUUUUGGAGAAUAUUAUUCUUGAAGCUUUUUGGCCAUCCCUCUUGUGAUAGGUCCUAUGUGUGUCAUGAUGCUAGACCCUCUUGUAUCAUCCCCUCCCUCUUGAGAAGGAUUUGUCCUCAAAUCCAAAGGAUCUUCAUCUUCACUUGCACAACCUGCAAAAGGUUUAAGAUCAGAUACAGUGAAAGUAGCAUGAACACCAUCCUCCUUAAAACUCUAAAAGGACCAUCUCCUCUAGGAUUGAGUUUGGAUUUUCUUAGUUGAGGAAAUUUUUCCUUUCUAAGAUGAACCCAAACUAGAUCACCUUCAUUGAAGAUCAACUCUUUUUUGCCUUUAUUAUGUUUCUUGGCAUAUUUCUCAUUUUGUUGUUGAAUUUGAACUCUAACCCUUUGAUUUGAUAAACUUAGAUUUAGAUACCCCAUCUUGAUGAAUAAAAUCAAUAGAAUUUGGAAGGGGUAUUAAAUCCAUAGGAGUUAAAGGGUUAAAGCCAUAGACAACCUCAAAAGGAGACAUUUUAGUAGUUCCAUGAACUACUCUAUUGUAGGCAAACUCAACAUGAGGAAGGUACUCAUCCCAAGACUUGUGAUUUCCCUUAAGAACUACCCUUAGUAAAGUGGAAAGAGAUCUAUUGACUACUUCAGUUUGACCAUCUGUUUGAGGAUGGCAAGUAGUACAAAAAGAUAACUUAGUCCCUAAUNUAGACCAUAAGGUCCUCCAAAAGUGACUAAGAAAUUUUGUAUCUCUAUCCGAAACUAUUACCUUAGGUAGACCAUGAAGUUUAACCACAUCUCUAAAGAAUAACUUUGCAAUGUUGCUUGCAUCAUCUACUUUGUGGCAAGGUAUAAAAUGAGUCAUUUUACUAAAUCUGUCUACCACCACAAAGAUAGAAUCAAAACCCCUAGAAGUUUUGGGAAGUCCUAACACAAAAUCCAUACUUAUCUCUUCCCAAGGGGUUGAUGCAACAUGCAAAGGAGUGUAAAGUCCAUGAGGCAUUGAUUUAGAUUUGGAUUCCAAACAAGUGAUGCACUUAAAACAAUGCCUUUGAACAUCCCUUCUCAUGUGAGGCCAAAAGAAUUUUUCUUUUAUCAUGCCAAGAGUCUUUUCUACCCCAUAAUGCCCCAUUAAACCACCCUCAUGUGUCUCUUUGACUAGGAGUUUUCUAUGUGAUCCUUGAGGGAUGCAAAUUUUUCCUUCUUUAAAAAGAUACCCCUCUCUCACAUAAAAUCCUCCUUGGGACUUAUUGAGACAUUCCUCAUACAUAUGAGCAAAUUCAGGAUCUUGUGAAUACAACUCAAUAAUGUUAUUAAAUCCAAGAAUUUGAGCUCCUAAUGUGGCUAAGAGAUUAAUUUUUCUUGAUAAAGCAUCAACCACCACAUUAGAUUUUCCUUUCUUGUAUUUAAUAACAUAAGUGAAUUGCUCAAUGAAUUCUAACCACUUAGCAUGUCUCUUUUGUAACUUGUGUUGACUCUUCAAAUAUUUAAGUGAUUCAUGAUCACUAUGAAUAAUAAACUCCUUGGCAACAAGGUAAUGUUCCCAAGUUUGAAGAGCCUUCACAAGUGCAUAGAGUUCUUUGUCAUAGGUGGGAUAAUUACAAGAAGCACCAUGAAGUUUUUCACUAAAAUAUGCAAUUGGGUGUCCUUCUUGUAAUAAUACAGCAUCUAUGCUAAAUCCUGAAGCAUCACAUUCUAGCUCAAAAGUUUUGGAAAAAUUUGGUAAAGCUAGAUUGAGUGCUUGGGUAAGCUUCUCCUUUAGUAGCUCAAAAGCCUUUUGUUGUUUUCCCCCCACUGGAAUGUAACAUCCUUUUUCACCAACUCGUUGAGAGGUGAAGCAAGACUAGAGAAGUUAGGAACAAAUCUUCUAUAAAAGCUUGCCAAACCAUGGAAGCUCCUUACUUCUCCUACAUUCUUUGGGGGAGACCAAUCUUGUAUGGCCUUUAUUUUUUCUGGGUCCACAUGAACCCCAUUUUUGAUGACCACAAAUCCAAGGAAGAUAAUGCUAUCAACACAAAAGGUACACUUGUCAAAAUUUGCAAACAAUUUGUGUUUUCUAAGAAUUGUUAGGACAACUCUCAAAUGAUUUUCAUGGGUUUGCAAAUUUUGACUAUAUACCAAGAUGUCAUCAAAAUAAACAACUACAAAUUUCCCAAUGCAAUCCCUAAGGACAUGAUUCAUAAGUCUCAUAAAUGUGCUUGGAGCAUUUGUAAGACCAAAAGGCAUAACUAGCCAUUCAUAUAAUCCAAACUUGGUCUUAAAGGCAGUUUUCCAUUCAUCACCCUCUUUGAUUCUUAUUUGGUGAUAUCCACUUUUAAGAUCUACCUUUGAAAAUAUUUGAGCUCCAUGCAAUUCAUCCAACAUAUCAUCAAGCCUAGGAAUGGGAUGUCUAUAUUUGAUUGUGAUGUUGUUGAUAGCCCUACAAUCACAGCACAUGCGCCACUUCCCAUCCUUCUUUGGUACAAGCAACACUGGUACAACACAUGGACUUAGACUCUUUUGAACUAGGCCUUUGUCUAGCAACUCUUGGACUUGUGACUCAAUCUCCUUGGUUUCUUGGGGGUUUGUCCUAUAGGCAGGCCUAUUAGGAAGAAUUGCCCCUGGGAUGAAAUCAAUUUGAUGUUCUAUUCCUCUUAUGGGUUGGAGCCCUUUUGGAAUUUCUUUUGGAAAUAGAUCAUCAAAUUCUUUCAAAAGUUUUUGAAUGGGUGGAGAAAGAGUUGAAGUCUUGGAGUCACUAGAUGUGCAUGUAAGUGUGCUUUGACAAAGGAGAAGGUAUGAAGGUUGCUCAACUUGAAGUGUAUUGAUUAAAGUCUUUUUGUUUAAAAGGACUUCAUGUUGAGUGACCUUGGGUGGUGCACUAGACUCACCACUCUCUUUCUUUCUUGUUUUUCUCUUUUGACUAUUUUCUUGCUUUCUUGUGGACUUCAUUUGUGCUUGAUCCUGAGCCACUUGGGUAGGAGUCAAAGGAUGAAGCACAAACUUCUUGUCCCUUUGAUGGAUAGUGAUAGUAUUGGUUAGACCAUGAUGAAUAGUUUGAUGAUCAAAUUGCCAUGGUCUCCCCAAUAACACAUGACAUGCUUCCAUGGGAACUAUAUCACAUAAAAUUUCAUCUUUAAAGUUCCCAAUGGAAAAUGCCAAUUUCACUUGAUUCUUGACUAUUAUAUCCCCAUCUUCAGUUAGCCAAUGAAGUUUGUAAGGUUUUGGAUGGGGUAUAAUGUCAAGCUUCAACUUUUCAACCAACCUUGUGCUACAACAAUUGCAGCAAGAACCACUAUCAACAAUGAGAGAACAAUGGUUUUCUUGAAUUUUACAUCUUGUAUGAAAGAUGUUCUCUCUUUGUGAUAGGUGUUCAAGACUUGGUUGGUUACUAAGUAUUCUUCUCACCAUGAGAAGUUGUCCAUCAUCAGCAUAUACUUCCUCUUCUCUUUCUUCUUCCUCACUCUCACUUUCACUAGUUGGGGUGUCACUUUCACUACUAUAAAUGUCCUUGCCUUUUAAAAUGAUGUUUCUUUUUGUAGGACAUUGAGUAGCUACAUGACCCCUUCCUAGACAUUUAAAGCACUUAAUUUCACUUGUUCUUGUGUGUGAGGUGGACUCUUUCUUGGGUUUCUCUUCUAUUUUAGCUAGAGGUUUAAAUGGCUCUUUUUCUUUAAAAAUUUUCUUUUCAAAGAUAGGUUGAACUUGAACUCUUUUAGAAGAAGAUUUUCUCAAGUUUUGUUGUUCUACCUUGAUACACAUUUGAACAAGNUCAUUCAAAUCUCUAUAAGGUAGAAGUUCAACUCUAUCUCUAAUGUCAAAAUUGAGACCACUUAAAAACCUAGCCAAAGUAGUUUCUGAACCUUCUACUAUGCCUGUCCUCAUGAUGUAUAACUCCACCUUUUGUCUAUAUUCUUCAACUGUCAUAGUCCUUUGUUGUAACCUUUGGAGUUUAUCCAUGAGUUCCCUAUUGUAAUAGGAGGGGAUGUGUCUCCUCCUAAGGGCAGACUUGAGAUCAUUCCAAUAAUAAAUGGGAGGGGCUUGAUGUCUAAGCCUCUCUUGGACUAAGGCAGUCCACCAAUACAUUGCAUACCCUUGAAAGGUUAGGGUAGCUAGAGAGACCUUCCUCUCUUCACUUACUUGGUGGCAAGCAAAUAAUUGUUCCACCUUCAUUUCCCAAUCAAGAUAAGCCUCAACAUUGUCUUUCCCAUGGAAGUGAGGCAACACAACAUUGACUUCUUUAGGGGGUGGGGGUGCAUGAGAAUUUCGCCUAUGCCUCCUAGAAGUAGAAGGCUGAUGAGGAUAAUAAUCACCCAUACUCAAAGAUAUCCCUCCCUCUUGAGAAUUUUCACUUUGAGUUCCCCUAGACUUAUUUUCCCUUAUCAAUCUCAAUCCAUCUUGAAUGACAGCAUUUUGAAGCUCUCUAUUGAUUCUUUCUUGGUUCAUUUCCUUUCUCAUUUCAGCAAAUUGAUUGACUAAAGUUUGAAGAGUAAAAUUUUCUUUUUGAUUUUCACUAUCACUAAUCCUAGGAGAAUGCCUUCUAGACAUUAUGGUGGACUUAAAUGUUAUUCUUGAAAUAAAGACUAAAGAUUUUCACUUGAAAGCAAUAUUCCAGGUAAUGGAGGUGAAUCACUAGGAUUGCUUAAGUACCAAGCCUUAUCCUUGCCAAAUAUGCUUCUAGCUACUUGCUAGAGUCCUUAGAUCAAAAUCACUCUUAAAUCCACUUAAGUCUUAAAGACAACAAAAACCACAAAGCAAAGAAAAACAACCUAAACUCUAAAUUCGGACCCCUAAGAGAGCUUCCUAUUCGCACAAGAUAAAGGCUAUCUAGUCGAGAAUUGGAAAAGCAAUUAAAGUGAGGUCUCCUAGGUGAGGCUUAGACUUUGGAUCUAAGACACACUACCGUCUAUCCAAUUUUAGGUUGUGAGACUUUAUUUGAGUCUAGUUACAAAUGAGGGAAGAGCACUUGUGAACUCUAUCACCUCACUUGCUUGGAUUUGGAACUUUACAACCAAAAACCAAUGAAAAUUACAAAAGGAACAUGGUAAAUUAGAAAGGAAAUUAGAAUAGGGUAAGGGAUUGAUGUGUGCAGCUUUGGUUGCUCUCAAAGAAGAUUGAAUCUACUGGAUUCAAACACAAAUCUCUCAGCUGCAAUGUGAUCACUCAAUCUGGACAAAAUUCUGCAGAAAAGGCAAUGCUGCUGUUGUUGCUGUGUUGCUGUCGCACAGCCUUCAGCACUUCUGGUGCAGAAACUGGUCACGGUUUUCCUUAUCCAAGGGUCAUCUUCUUGCACUUGUUUCUCAUCAUUGAACCUUCUUUGAUGCUUCCACUUGUGGUAAUCCCUUUGAGUUACAAAUCGCUUAUCCAGCAAACCAAUUAGCCACAAGAAUUAUCACCACAGUUGCUAGAAAAUUCGCAACCAAAAGACAGCAACACCAGGACUUGUGUCAAACAGUUGGUGUGCAGAAUGUUUGAAAAUUUGAAAUCAAGCAAUUAAGAGGGUAUCAAACACGGAGGCACUUCAAAUGGAGCCUAAGAAUAGCUCUAGAACAGAUUUAAAACACAAUAAAAGACCAGCAAUAAAAAUUAAACACGAAUAAGCUAUGCAAUGAAAUUGGACUAAACUGUUUGAUGAAAUGUCUCACUGAACUUGCAUAAAUUUGACAACAAAGUUCAAUGUGCUAAACAAAUUUUCGAAAUUAAGAUGCACUGGUCCUAUUCUGCCUCUUAAUGCUUUAAUAACUCUUUUUGAAUUGUUCUUUUGAUAUUUUAUGGACCAAAGGCUUUUGCUACAUCCAUUCUUGUUGAAUCAAACAGAAAAUCAAUGCAAGUUUGGGAAAAUACUGCAUAGCUCUCGGCCAUAACAAAUUCUGCCCAGAAAAUUGACCAUUGCUAUAUACCAAAUGCACAGUACUGCUUAUAUACUCAUUUCAAUGAUUCAAAAAUGUUUUAAUAGUGAAUUAAGACUUGUUGAAUCGAAUUUGAUGGAUCAAAACAACAUAUAUCAGAAAAUGCCUAGUGCAGUACCAUUUUUCACUCAAAUUCACAGCUCCAAUGGUCAAAAUGCAGAUUGGCUUUAAUUCUGACUUGAAAACAACACAAAUGGUUUGAAAAUAGUGUUUGAAAGUUGCUCAAAACAGCAGAAUCAACUUAAGAAUGAUUGGCAAUGAUCUAGUACCAAUCUAACUCAAAUUAUGCAGAAUUGUUUAACAAAGAUGAUGUGCAGAUCGGUUUACUGCACUUUGAACUUGAAAAGCAUUGGAAAUCAAAACACAUUCAUGUUCCACUUAGUUCAAACAUUAACUCAGACAGCUGCAGCUCAAUAAAGCAGUACACAAUUUUACCAAAUGAACAGUGACGUUGCAACACAAUUUUCUCAAAACAUCAAAACUAGAUCCAGUACAGAUCUGCAAUGGCUGGCCAAUUUUAAACACCUGAGCUCAACUCUUGGUAGUUCACUGCUCUUAAUCAGUGUAGACACAUCCAAACACUUUAGUUUUGGCAAAAACUUGCUUGAAAAACCGGAUGCAAAGACAGUAAAAGCAAUUAAACAGACAUGACUUCAGACAAAACGAGAAUGAUGCUUAAAUGAUGAAAAAAAUGACUCAAAACGGCAAUGAUAAACCGAAUAAAAAUGAGAAGAGACUCAAGCAAACAUGCUGGUAUCAAGAAGACUCAAACACAAAAGCCUAAACACAUCACAGAUGCUGGAAACAGAAUCAGAAAUUCAGAACAACAAACAAGACAUAGCAGAAUUUGAUGACAGCACGGAAAUGGAAGAAGGAGACCCUUAUCUCACGGUUCAAGCUAGAACCUAUGCUCUGAAUACCACUUGAUACAUCCAGGGGGAUGUGUUGGAGAUGUGCCAUGAGAUUGGAGGUGAUUUGAAGCUUGGAAGGCAGCUGGAACCAAUGGAACAGUACCGGCAACAACUGCAGAUCCGAAGGCUUUUCUGGAACAGAUUUGGCUGGAGAGUUUUGGAGUGAAGGCAGCGGAUUAGAAGUGUUUGUGGUGAGUGGAAAUGAAGGCUAGCUUGGAGAGAUGAUUCACAACUCAGAAGGCUUCCCUAGAAUGGAAGAAAGUUGCAAUGGAGAUCAAGCUAGGAAGAGGACUCUUGGAGAAGNN